rnacentral:rRNA from 1 species
AAGCGCUUGCAACCAGACUUGUGUUUAACGGUUCCCUCGAUCUUUUGAUCGGGUUAUUCUGUUAUAUCCAGGCCAGCAUCGGUUUGGAUGGUUGGUUAAAGACUUUAGGAAUGUAUCUACCUUCGGGUCGACUUAUAGCUCAGGGUGUAAUGCAGCCUAUCUGGACCGAGGAACGCGCUUUUGCUCGGAUGCUGGCGUAAUGGUUGUAAGCGG